UAUUUCUAUUCUUCUAUGUACAUCACAAACUUAUAAAAACCUCAUCAAAAUUCAUCAUAUUUGAUAAUUAAUUCAAAUCCUGUUUUAGAACCUUUAAUCGCGUUUGUAUUUGCGAUUAGAGAAUCCCAAUUUGACCCAUUGACCUGAUAACCUAACCAUGUUAAUGAACUAAUAAAGGGACGUCGAAAUUUACGAUAAAAAACAAAAAAAAACUAAAGAGUAACAGACUAACGAUAAAACAGAGGCAAAAC
rnacentral:lncRNA from 1 species